rnacentral:sRNA from 1 species
CACCCUUCUAUUUUGUAGAACUUUAUGAGUGGAUGGUGUUGAAACUAUGAUGUAUGGAGUAUAUGAUCUUCCGUACGCAAAUGUCACUCUUAACCAUAACGGAACUUCUAUAGUUCUAUUGUAGAUGCCCAAAACUUUAAAAAUUGUAUGACAUUAUUAGGUGUUGCUAUGUUGGCAAUGGAGCAAACAUUCUGAAUUUAUGCUACACUUGGAAGUGUAGCAUAAAUUCAAAUCU